UUGGGGGCUGCUUCCUUUCGUUUGUGCCUUGCUAACUUGAAAUCUGUGCUUUCUCAAAACUAAAACACACCAGAAGUCUGAUUGGCGUGAGACCUGUGUGAGGCCGCUGAUAGUCCAAGAGAUCGCUGAAAUACUAGAACCAGAGUUUGUAGCUUCCAUUCCAGCGCCGCCCAGGUGGAGUUGUGUGGAAUUUGCAAGUCACUAACCACCCCUGUCUUUGGGGUUUCCAUCUAUAAAGGGAGAGAUGAUCAUCUACACACCAUAGGACUUUUGUGAGGAUCCAUAGGUUGUGUGUGAAAGUUUUGACAGGUUGGUUGAAGAAAUGUUAGCUCAUGGAAAUGUUAAUUCAUCCUUAUUUAUAAUCGCUGUCAUUCCUCAUCACUCUUAUGACAAGAGUGAUGGCUGGGAUGGCCGCCAUAUUGUUUGCCCCAACCAAGGGAAUUUUCUUUUUAAGAUUUUAUUUAUUUAUUCAUGAGAGACACACAGAGAGAGAGAGAGGCAGAGACACAGGCAGAGGGAGAAGCAGGCCCUGUGCAGGGAGCCCGACGUGGGACUCGAUCCCGCAUCCCCAGGAUCACACCCUGGGCUGAAGGCAGGUGGUAAACCGCUGAGCCACUCCGGGAUACCCCAACCAAGGGAAUUAAAAUGUGGGGCAGCUGAUUCCCUUUCUGGUAUAACCCCGUACUCACUAGUGCUUGGGAGGGUUUUUGGGUAGGAUAUAAAAUUUAUAGGGGAAUAUGGAGGAUGUCACACCCAACAACAUAGGGGUUGGAACUUCAUCGUUGGCUGUUUUGAGACCAUAUAGGCAAGAGUUCCUGGAUUACAUAGGAUUUGCCAUGGUGUCAGUUAGCUGUAUUUUGAACAUAGCUCGUGUUCAUGCAUCUCUGGGUUGCUCAAAGUUUUGACUUUCCUCUUGUAAGGUGAACACGAGGGGUGGACUCCGAUGGGGGUCCUAUUGGGCUGUGGGUGGAGUCUCACAGUGUCUGAACGUCUCAACCUACCUGUGGUUUCAAGUCCAGAUUCAUACUCAGCCAUUGAGCUCCAUUCUCAUGGAUCACUGCCCGAGGACUCUAGGGAAAUACACAAAAGAUGGGGCACCUGGAUGCCUCAGCAGUUGAGUGUCUGCCUUUGGCUCAGGUUGUGAUCCCGGGGUCCUGGGAUCGAGUUCCGCAUCGGGCUCCCUGCAGGGAGGCUGCAUCUUCUUCUGCCUUUGCCUCUGCCUCUCAUGAGUAAUUAAAUGAAAUCUUAGGGGAAAAAAAGAUUUGAAUAGAUGGUGAUACAAAAUUUGACUAUAGGCAGGGAGUCUGCCCUUAAUGUCCCAUCUUUAGAGAUUUUUAGAUGCACAGACUCCAUCUGUAGCCUGAACCCAAAGAGCUUAUGGGUUCAGAGAUUUAACAUAAGCUGCUGUUUUGAGGGUAAGGGUGCUUCAUUAUGUCUAUUUCCCACAUGUGACCGGGUGCCUUCCAUCAGAGUUGCUUGGGAAACCAUGCUUGGUUGUCUGAAUGUUGAGCGUCCAGCAUGUCCAAAUGGACAGAUGACCAAGGUCAAGGAUGUGCCCAAAUGGACAGAUGACCAAGGUCAAGGACGUGCCCAAAUGGACAGAUGUCCAAGGUCAAGGAUGUGUCCAAAUGGACAGAUGACCAAGGUCAAGGACAUGCCCAAAUAGAUGACCAAGGUCAAGGACGUGCCCAAAUAGACAGAUGACCAAGGUUAAGGACGUGCCCAAAUGGACAGAUGACCAAGGUCAAGGACGUGCCCAAUGGACAGAUGACCAAGGUCAAGGACGUGCCCAAAUAGAUGACCAAGGUCAAGGACGUGUCAAAAUGGACUUCUUUUCUACCCCCUCUCUGAAGAUGCUCAGCUCAGAGCAUGAUGCCCAGCCCAGAGAGGGGAAAGGCACGCCUGCUAGGGAAGGAGGUAUGGGAAGUCCAGGCACAAUGAUUUUCUGAAAAUCUGUAGGUGACUUUCAAACCCAAUUUGGAUCUCCAAAUCCAGUUGGAUUCUGGAGUUGUAAGGCAUUUAUAUCACCUUGUGUUUGGGAUAUACGCACCCCCCCCCCUUGGAUGUUAUGGUGCCAAUUUGACAUUCAUAUGCCAAGGCACUAUGCCAAGGCACAGCGGUUUGGGGGAAGGACCCAAAAAUCUUAAUGGACUUGACAUUGUCCGAUACUUGGAGUGGGGUUAGGAACUUGGGAAAGCAAGUGUUCUCCAUCCCCCUGUACCCCAUUCCUGUAUUUUGGUCUUUGAAGCAUUCGUGUUCCUAACAUGGGGUGAAAACGGAAAAUUCCCCAGGUAGAAAUAGUCGAAUUAACAAAUUUCAAAAAUAAAAGCAUCUUCCCAAAAGAAUGUGCUCAGGGCGCUCUGGAACUCAACACAUGCUUACUGAGCAGCGAGCUAAAGUCUUCAUUUACCCAGGAUUUCGUGCAGUUUCUCCUGCAUGAGCCAAUUGAAUAUUGGGGCCAACUUUAUAAGCUCGAUUUGCUUUCUGGUUUUAUUGGAGUUGGGGAUCUCAGCUGAUUUAGACACACAAAGAAAAAGUAAAAAAAAAAAAA